rnacentral:rRNA from 1 species
AUGGCUAUCUCCUCGCCCUCCCCUGGCUUCCACCUCUCCCUCCACCUCCAAAACCCCACCCCCACCCCCACCCCCCACCCAGGCCCCAACCGCAAGCCCCGGCCGACCCCGACCACCGAGACGCUCCGUCGCCGCCUCCUCCGCAAGGGCGUGUCCCCGACGCCCAAGAUCCUCCAUGCCCUCCGCAAGAAGGAGGCCGGCAAGUCGCUCCGGCGCGCGAGGAAGGAGGCCUCCGCCGCCACCGCCGCCGCGCCGCCGAAGGAGGACGCGCUGGUGGCAGAAGAGGAGGCCCGCUUCCGCGCGGCCGCCGAGGAGUACCGCGUCCUCAUGGGGCGGCCCUGGCACGGCGCCCGCGGCGUCGUGGGCCCUCCGCGCGCGGCCUCCGGCGAGGAGGGCCUCGUCGGCCUGCGGAAGAUGCUCGAGGAGAGGAGCGGUGACAGAUUCCAGUGGCUUCUUGACGGCGACGUAGAAGAUGAGGGGGUGGAGGACGCCAAGGGGAAGCAGAGGCGUGUCGGCUCCGGCUGGAUUUCGGAGGUGGGGGACGAGGAGAGGAGGAUUGAGUUGCUGGUCAGUAGGCUCAGUGAAGUGGACCUUAGUUCGGGUGAUUGGAGGCUUACUAGAAUGAUGAAACAAGCUGACCUAAUAUAUAAUGAAGAUAAUCUAUUACAAAUACUCAAAGGGCUCGAGGCAAAAGGAAACUGGAGGCAGGCUGUUGCUGUUACCGAGUGGGUGUACAAUGAGAACAGCUACAAGCAUCGAAGAAGCAGGUUUGUCUAUACCAAGUUACUGUCAAUCCUUGGGAAAGCAUGGAUGCCAACUGAAGCACUGCGGAUUUUCACCAUCAUGAGGGUAGGAGAUGCUCAAAUAUACCCUGAUAUGGCUGCAUACCAUAGUAUUGCUGUUACACUUGGUAGAGCUGGCCUUCUCAAUGAGCUAAUUAAGAUAAUCGAUUAUAUGAGACAGAAGCCUUCAAAAAGGGUAAUGAUGAUGCGGCGCAAAGAUUGGGAUCCUUUGUUGGAGCCGGAUGUUCUCGUUUAUAACUCGGUUCUUAAUGCCUGCGUACUAUCACAGCAAUGGAAAGGGGUAUUUUGGGUGUUUCAGAAAAUGCGGUUCGGUGGAUUGACACCUACAGGAGCGACAUUUGGCUUGGCAAUGGAGGUUAUGCUUAAAUCCAAGAAGUAUGAGUUUGUCCAGAAGUUCUUUGAAAAGAUGCAGAGGAAAGGUGUACCUCCAAGAGCGAUAACUUAUAAAGUGUUAGUAAGAGCCUUCUGGGAACAAGGAAAAGUAAAUGAAGCUGUUGAAGCAGUUAAAGACAUGGAACAAAGAGGAGUCGUUGGAGCUGCAAGUGUGUACUAUGAAUUAGCUUGCUGUCUUUGUAAUAAAGGAAGGUGGAAAGAUGCUAUGUUACAGGUUGAGAAGAUGGAACAGCUUCGCCUCACUAAACCACUGGAGUUCGCAUUUACUGGCAUGAUCCUAGCCUCUUUUGAUGGUGGAUAUAUCUCCGAGUGUAUCUCGAUAUUUGAGUCAAUGAAGGACUACUGUACUCCAAAUAUUGGGACGAUAAAUGUGAUGCUAAAAGUUUAUGGACGCUGUGAUAUGUUUGGGAAGGCAAAAGACUUGUUUGAGACCACCACAUAUAGUGCUUGUAGUUCUCAGCCACAUAUCCGUGACCAUUCUUCACUUAAAGCAGACGCGUAUACAUACAGCUCUAUACUUGAAGCAUCUGCAUCCGCCCAACAGUGGGAAUAUUUCGAAAAUGUAUACAGACAGAUGACUCUUUCUCAACACCAUCUAGAUCAAAGCAAAUAUUCAUGGUUGCUUGUCAAGGCAUCGAGAGCUGGAAAGCCCUAUUUGGUGGAGCAUGCACUUGAUUCAAUACUUGAAAGAGGAGAAAUCCCUGAUGUAGAGCUGUUCACUGAAAAUAUUUGCCAAACUAUUGCUGAAAGCGACCAUGGAAGAACACUGCAUCUCAUGAAUACUAUGUCUGCGGCUUCAGUCGAGAUGAAUGAACAGCAAUGGAGCGAUCUACUUCAGCAAAAUUCACAUCGAUUCAGGGUGGAUGCGUUGAAAGACCUUAUAACGCACCUCAGUACUAGUGAUGCCAUCAAAACAGAUCCCGGACUCGGUUUUGUAAGAGCAUUGCAGUCCCAAUGUGCGACAAUGUUGGCGAAAGACGCUGAAGAGCCUCAAGCAGAUAAUUGUUCACAUAGCAAUCUGAUGGAACAGGAUGAGAUCUCUUGCAAGGACUCAUUGGGUAGUCAUGAAUUCUCGGAUUCCAGUACUGAUAUCCCUGUAUCAGGUGUCAAAGCUGGUUCGGGUGGGGACAUUGUACUGCGUGGUCCGCAUUCAGAAGAUGAACAUCGUAAUCUUGCGCAUUGGGGCACACAGGUAUCUGCCAUCGACAAAGUGCUUGAUUCCAUGAACUCAUUUGGUAACUGUAGUUCAUAUGAAAAGAUGCCGACAGCAUUAGAAAUUCUCGAAUCAUGGGAGCAGGAGUGUGUUGAGGACAUAUUUGCUCCAAAGAAGGGAAGCAGAGAAACUAUGAGAGAUAAAUGA